AUUGAACGCUGGCGGCAGGCCUAACACAUGCAAGUCGAACGGUAGCACAGAGAGCUUGCUCUCGGGUGACGAGUGGCGGACGGGUGAGUAACGUCUGGGAAACUGCCCGAUGGAGGGGGAUAACUACUGGAAACGGUAGCUAAUACCGCAUAAUGUCGCAAGACCAAAGAGGGGGACCUUCGGGCCUCUUGCCAUCGGAUGUGCCCAGAUGGGAUUAGCUUGUUGGUGAGGUAAAGGCUCACCAAGGCGACGAUCCCUAGCUGGUCUGAGAGGAUGACCAGCCACACUGGAACUGGGACACGGUCCAGACUCCUACGGGGGCAGCAGUGGGGAAUAUUGCACAAUGGGCGCAAGCCUGAUGCAGCCAUGCCGCGUGUGUGAAGAAGGCCUUCGGGUUGUAAAGCACUUUCAGCGGGGAGGAAGGCGGUGAGUUUAAUAAGCUCACCGAUUGACGUUACCCGCAGAAGAAGCACCGGCUAACUCCGUGCCAGCCGCCGCGGUAA
rnacentral:rRNA from 1 species